GUGGGGAAUAUUGGGCAAUGGGGGAAACCCUGACCCAGCAACGCCGCGUGAGGGAAGAAGGUUUUCGGAUUGUAAACCUCUGUCCUUGGUGACGAAGGAAGUGACGGUAACCAAGGAGGAAGCCCCGGCUAACUACGUGCCAGCAGCCGCGGUAAUACGUAGGGGGCAAGCGUUGUCCGGAAUGACUGGGCGUAAAGGGCGUGUAGGCGGCCGAUUAAGUCUGGAGUGAAAGUCCUGCUUUCAAGGUGGGAAUUGCUUUGGAGACUGGUUGGCUGGAGUGCGGAAGAGGUAAGUGGAAUUCCCAGUGUAGCGGUGAAAUGCGUAGAGAUUGGGAGGAACACCAGUGGCGAAGGCGACUUACUGGGCCGUAACUGACGCUGAGGCGCGAAAGCGUGGGGAGCGAACAGGAUUAGAUACCCUGGUAGUCC
rnacentral:rRNA from 1 species